rnacentral:tRNA from 1 species
GGCGGGGUAGCUCAGUUGGUUAGAGCACGGCAAUCAUAAUCCUGGGGUCGGGGGUUCAAGGCCCUCUCCCGCAACCA